rnacentral:snRNA from 1 species
CCGCUGUAAACCGCGGGUUAAAA